rfam:Myceliophthora thermophila ATCC 42464 chromosome 1, complete sequence.
GGCAAGGUGGCCGAGCGGUCCAAGGCGCCAGGUUCAGGCCCACCUGAAUUCGCUCAUCGAGCAUUCCUGGUCUCAGAAAUGGGGCGUGAGUUCGAAUCUCACCCUUGUCA